ACGGCGUAGAGGGCUACACAACUGACUGAUCAAUUUCUUGAUUCUAACCGGUAAGUUGUUUUUCCCUUUUCACCGCACAUUCUUAAAUCUGGAUCAUGCAAUUUCUGUUGGUUGCAUGUGCCUUGAGUUUUUCCUCUUCAAAUCUCUGUUCAAUUCUAGCUCUAAGAGUUGUUCUUUAUCACCAAUUGGUGAUUUGUAGGUUUUUGUUGAGUUCCCUUACGGUGCAAGGUACUGUUGAAGUAAUCUCAUGAGUUGGGCA
rnacentral:lncRNA from 1 species